rnacentral:rRNA from 1 species
AUUGAACGCUGGCGGCAUGCUUUACACAUGCAAGUCGGACGGCAGCACAGAGAAGCUUGCUUCUUGGGUGGCGAGUGGCGAACGGGUGAGUAAUAUAUCGGAACGUACCGAGUAAUGGGGGAUAACUAAUCGAAAGAUUAGCUAAUACCGCAUAUUCUCUGAGGAGGAAAGCAGGGGACCUUCGGGCCUUGCGUUAUUCGAGCGUCCGAUAUCUGAUUAGCUAGUUGGUGGGGUAAAGGCCUACCAAGGCGACGAUCAGUAGCGGGUCUGAGAGGAUGAUCCGCCACACUGGGACUGAGACACGGCCCAGACUCCUACGGGAGGCAGCAGUGGGGAAUUUUGGACAAUGGGCGCAAGCCUGAUCCAGCCAUGCCGCGUGUCUGAAGAAGGCCUUCGGGUUGUAAAGGACUUUUGUCAGGGAAGAAAAGGCUGUUGCUAAUACCGACAGCUGAUGACGGUACCUGAAGAAUAAGCACCGGCUAACUACGUG